UUUUGCACUUGCUGCUCUACUGUUCUUUGGAUUAACAAUACUUUGGGCGUAAUACACCUGUCGCUGCUGAAGAAUCACAUAGAAGACCAAGAACACUGGUGAAAUAAAAAGAUUGGGUUCCUCCUCACAUUGCGGAAGUGAACCUUUAUGCAAUCAGUAAUGUGGCUUCCACUUUACUAUUAAUUGGCUUAGCUCUUCAAAACUAUGGUUCUCUCGGUACCAUGUGUUUGUUUUUGAAAACAGGUUUCCAUGUAUUCUUGUAUGAGUAGCUAUUCUCAAUUCUCAUUUACAUAAUUCACCUGCAAGUCUGCAACCUGGUGCUUCAUUCGUUAAUCGUUCAUAAUCUGGAACAUCUUCAGUGUACAACUGUACAUAUUCCUGUAACAUGAUCCUUGGGGAGUUGUGUGUGUUUUCAUGUUCCUUGGUGCGUGCAGACAUUGUAAAACAAAGAAAGUUUGUUCUGGAAUCUUGACAAAGAAAACCUUUUGAAUC
rnacentral:sRNA from 1 species